rnacentral:rRNA from 1 species
UACGUAGGAGGCGAGCGUUGUCCGGAGUUACUGGGCGUAAAGGGUGCGCAGGCGGCGGUUCGCGUGGAUAGAUGAAAUCUCCUGGCUUACCUGGGAGGAUGGUAUCCAGACGGGAUCGCUUGAGGGUCGGAGAGGGGCGUGGAAUUCCGGGUGGAGCGGUGAAAUGCGUAGAGAUCCGGAGGAACACCGGUGGCGAAGGCGGGUCUCUGGGCCGACACUGACGCUGAGGAGCGAAAGCGUGGGGAGCGAACAGG